CCAACUAUGCGAAACCAGUUUAUACAAGAAAAGUCUUUCUUCUUCUUUCUUCUUCUUCUUCUUCUUCUUCUUCUUCACUUCGUUUUGUCUUUGUAUCAUAAAAGUUAGGGUUUAAGAAAUCGCAGAGCCAAUUCGCUUUCUUGUUCUUUAAGCUCGAUUGCCAAUUGCGAUCGUUCAGAAACCCUAAAAUUUCUUUGAAGUUGACGAUUGAAACUGGUUUUUUGACAAUGUCUCGGGUUUAUGUUGGGAAUUUGGAUCCUCGAGUGACUGAAAGGGAUCUUGAAGAUGAAUUUCGGAUGUUCGGUGUUCUUAGGAGUGUCUGGGUUGCUAGAAGACCACCGGGAUAUGCAUUUGUUGAAUUCGAUGAUCGCAGGGAUGCUCUGGAUGCAAUUCAAACGUUGGAUGGAAAGAAUGGCUGGCGUGUGGAGCUUUCUCAUAAUUCUAAGGGUGGAGGAGGCCGUGGUGGUGGGCGUGGGCGUGGUGGAGGUGAGGACUUGAAGUGUUAUGAGUGUGGGGAACCUGGCCAUUUUGCUCGAGAAUGUCGCCUGCGCAUUGGUUCACGAGGCGGUGGUAGUGGAAGGUGCAGAAGCCCUUCCCCUCGACGCCGUAGGAGUCCAAGUUACGAUGGAUAUGGGCGCAGUCCACGUAGGAGAAGAUCUCCAAAACGGCGCAGUAUAACACCUCCUAGACGUAACCGAAGCUACAGCAGGUCCCCUCCUUAUCGAGCUCGCCGUGUCUCACCAUAUGCUAAUGGGUAUGUCAUGGUGUUACAGUAGCUGUAUUUAGUUUCUGAGAUUGGUGGAACUUGAAUUAAACCUUGAGCAAGGAAUACGUUUAUUGGAUCAGGGUGACACCUCUUGGCGAAAGGAUUAAAGCGGGAAUGUAGAUUGGAGAGGAAUGCCAACUGGAGCGAAUACUAGAGACAAUACAAAAUGACUUAUCUGCUGUAGUGUAGUUCUAAUAGGAUUGGUUGAAGAGACAGAGAAACAUGUUAGUUAUAUUGAUGUUGUGACGAUGGAUUUUAUUAGAAACUUGGAUUUACAUGGCUUCUACGAAGUGUUUUGGCCAGCAAAAGGGGUGCUUUGGACACUGUUUUGCGUCGGCUUUCUGGCAUCAAGUACUGAAAUGUGGAGCUAUAACAGCAUGAUUUCGCCACUUACUGCAUCUUAGUGCACAUGGUUCACCCAUCUCUGCUCUGCACCACAAUCAUCUACUUGUCGCUCCUGCAUAGUGUUAAAUGAAAUUGGUAUAAUACAGAAACUUUGGUUGUGUACGGCAUGCAACAAAGCUUCUGAUCGUUUUACAUUUGUUAGCUAGCUAGCUGGUUCAAGAAGAUGAAGCUGUUUGUUGUCCUCCUCACUUCUGCGUCCUCUGCACAUCACCUACUUGUUGCUUUACCUGCAUUUAGUCGGCUUCUGUUAAGUGUUCAAAAUUUGUUAAGAAAACCUGGCUGCACUCAACCCUUUUUCCAUGUCCCUGUCUUCAACGAAGCUCUUUACUUCUCUAUUAGCUGGUUGAACAAGUGGAAGCUGUAGGUUGGUCUCAUGGUUUACUGCUUCCAAGUGUGGUCUUAUGAAUGACUGCGAUUGAAUAUUCAUUGUGGUAAUCUUGGAAAGUACUAAGCCUUGCUGCUUUAAAGUACUAGUUGGAUUCAUACCCAUUGUUGGUGAUCUCCCUUUUCAGAUUCUUUCCUUCCCAAUGUUUUUUGUUUCUGUUUUUGUUGUUUUGUUGUUUUGUUGUUUUUUAUUUGGUUUCUUCUUCUUCUUCUUAGGUUAGGUAAUUAGAAUGCUAGAAGGGAUACCUGUUUUGUUUCUAUUUCUUGGUUAUCCUGAGAAACCUGUGAGCACUCAUUGAAUUUUCUUUUAACAAGGUUUAUAUAAAAUUGGGGAUGUCUCAUAACAUUCCAAAAUUGUGUA